rnacentral:misc_RNA from 1 species
GAUGAAGAACGCAGCGAAAUGCGAUAAGUAAUGUGAAUUGCAGAAUUCAGUGAAUCAUCGAAUCUUUGAACGCACAUUGCGCCCCUUGGUAUUCCGAGGGGCAUGCCUAUUCGAGCGUCAUUAUCACCCCUCAAGCCUAGCUUGGUGUUGAGGCCUGCUGUUAAGGCAGCCUCUAAAAUCAGUGGCAGUGCUGUCAGGCUCUAAGCGUAGUAAUUUCAUCGCUAUAGACACCUGGUGAUACUCGCCAGAACCCCCCCAUUUUUUAAUGAUUGACCUCGGAUUAGGUAGGGAUACCCGCUGAACUUAAGCAUAUCAAUAAGCGGAGGA